CAGAACUAUUGCCUAUAGCAUUUAUUGUAUAUCCAUUGUGAAGCUUUUGGAAACCUAAAAAAAAAAGCCAUGUACAUUUUCUUCACAGAGUAUUCACAUUAUAAUAUAGGGGAUAAUUAAAACACAAUACCUUCUUUCAACACAUAUGUUGGUCUACUGUUAACUUGUGUACAAUAUUUAUUGAGUGUCUUUUAUGUGCCCGUCACUGAUCUAGGAGCUGGCGAUAUAGCAGGAACAAUACUUGUUGGGGACAGUUCUCCAUAUUAAUAUAUAAUCAUGCAGUGCCUUAUUCCAAGUUAUGUAUCAGUGCUAUGGUGGAAAUGAAUGUGGUAUUAGGAGAGAGAAGAAUAGAGAAUCUUCAUCUCCUUGACAAAACCAGGGAAAGAUUUUCAGAGAAUGUGGUGUCUUGAGCCCCGACUGACUGAUGAAGAGUCAUUAAACGAGCUUUAGGGGCUGGUGGAUGCUCCAGUAUGCACAGGAGUUCUUUGAUGGGUAGAAUCUUGGUUCAGAUCAAAGACAUAAAGGAACACAGCUUCAGCCAGAGCACCAGGAACAAGGGACAUGAGAGUGCGAUUAAGCUGGGAGACUUGCCUGGGUCCAGUGCAUGCUGUUCUUGUAAAACUAGGUUAGGAUUUUAGUCUUUACCCUAAAAUGAAUGUAAAGCCAUACCAUAGAAGUUGUCUAAGCAUGGGGAUGAAAAGAUCACAUUUGUGUUUUGAAAUUUACUUCUGUGAUAUGAGGAGGGUUUAAGAGUAAAUCUAGAACUAGUCAAGAAGCCAUUGCAAUAAUCCAUCAAGUGAGUCACUAAACUGGAUUAAUCCACUACAGUAGAUUUAAACUGGAGUAGUUGCGGUAGAGAAUAGCGAAGGGUAGGAGAUUUGAGAAUUUGAGCUAUUUCAAGGAAAAGAAGUUGACUGGCUUAAUAUUGGAUAUGGAGAGUGAAAGAAAUAGGCAAUAGUGAAUCCUAGGGAUAUGGCUUGUGUACCUGCGCAGGAGAAAGCACCAUUCAUUGGAAUGGGUGCACUUAAGGGAGAGUGGGAUUAAGAGAGUGGCAACUUGUGAGUUUGAUUUGUUGAAUUUAAAGUGGCUUUGAAUUAUCUAAGUGGACAAGUAGUCAGUCAAGUAAUCAGUUGAACAUGUGGAUCUGGAGGAGAGGAGAGAUUGAGAUAGAAGUAUGGGAGCCGAUACUUUGCAGAGAGUUUUUGAGUUGGAGAACAUGAGAGGGUAAGGAAGAUAUUGGGGUUGACUCUAGAGGAACUCCCAACUUUUAAAGUCCUGAUACACAAGAGUGAGUCCACAAGAAGAUCAGGAAAGGCUAGCUGUAGAAGAACAACAGUGAAGAAAGUCCAGUGUCACAACUUGUGUUGUGAGGAGAGGUGGUGUGUGUUUGCUUGUUAAGGCUGCUGUGAUUAAGAGCUGCAAACAGAUGCUUGAGAACAACAGGUAGCUACCCGUUCAGUUCGGGAGGCUGAAGGUGGUUCCUUCUGAGGGCUGAAAGGCCCUGCUACUAGCUUCUGGUAAAAACCAGCAAGCCUGGGCAUUCCUUGCUUGUCAUCACUCCAGUCUUGGCCCUGUCUUCACCUGACAUUCUUCCUGUGUGUCUCUGUCUUCUUAUAAGGACACCACUCAUGCUGGAUUAAUAACCAACCCCACUCCAGUAUAACAUAAUCUUAACUAAUUACAUCUGCAGUGACCCUAUUUCCAAGUAUGGUCACAUUCUGAGGUCUUUUUGGGGACACAAUGUAUAACUAGAGGAGUCAAAUUCAAUCUAAGAGGAUUUCCCUGUUGUCUAAGGCCUUCUGGGGGAGGUAGUGACAAUUAAGACACAAUUCCUGUUCUUACAUAUAUUUUAACAUAAGAUUAACCCUAUUAUUCUAUCCAGUCAGGUCCAAAUCAGGUAUUUAUGGGAGCUGAGAUGAAUGUGAUUUGUGGGAAUAGAAAGAAGGCAAAUGGGAAGAAUUAAAUUGGAAAAACAUUUCUUAGAGGAGAUGAAAUUUGAAUUGAGUGUUAAUGGAGAGGGUUCAGGAUUUAAAUUUGUGGAAAGCAGAGGUAGAGGGUAUUAUGGGAAGAGAAAAAUCACAAAAACCUGGAAGUGUUCAGUCUUUAAAAAGUAAGAAUCUGAUAUUUGUCAUUUAGCAUAAAAUAAUCACAUGCCUGCUGGUAGCCCCUUAUGUAGAAGAGGUUACAGAAUUUUAUGUAUGACAGAGAGUCUUUGGCAAGAAUAAGGUUGGAUCUUAAUUCAAUUGAUUUUGGAAGCAGUUAUUUACUGAGACCUACUGUAAACCAGGCACUGUGCCAAGGGCUAUGGAUAUAUAAGAUUUUGAUUAGAUAUUUACUCUUACCAACCUCUGAGCACCAACAAUCUUUUUUUUUUUUUUGACAAAGUUUCACUGUGUUACCAGGCUCGCCUCACUUUUCUGGGCUUAAGUAAUCCUGUUCCCUCAGUCUCCUGAGUAACUGGGACUAAAGACAUGUGCUACUAUACCCAAUAUCAACCAUCAUUUUAAUACACAACUUGUGGGUAAAACCAGGAUUUUCUGUUUCUGACUCUGUCCAUUUUCAAAAUUAUUAAUUUAAUAAUAGUAACUAAUAAUAAUCGAGUAGCUUACUCAAGGCCAACUAUUCUAAAUACUUUACUUAGGUGAACUUUACCAAAUCUUAUGCUGUAGUGUUUCCAACAAAUUCAUAGGUGCCGUCCAUAUAAGAUGAUAUUUGAUAUACCUCUAAGAAAGAGUUACAAGGUUUCUGAUUAAUUGAAAGAUGACAUUGUCAGUAAGACACAUUUUGAUUUCAGAAAUGUUAAAAUAUGGAAGAAUGCAUAUAACUUAGAUUUGGUGGACAGGUUACAUCCAAUGAUAUAAGAUAACUGUAGUUGACAGAGGGGGAAAUAGAGGCACUGAGGAGGUGAGUAGUUGGCCCAAGGUUAUGGGUCCACCAUGGAGCCCAUAUUUUCAUCCAAGAGCCAGGCUCCAGAGCCUGGGCACUUAGCCAUUGUACUCCAUACUGUGUAUGAUUAUAAACCCUGAGCACUUCUCAGGAGACUUUUUUUCAUAAAUCAAGAGCAUGAUAACGAAGGUUUGGGGAACAGCAGAGUGGGAGAGGUAUAUGCAGAUGUGCAACUUGCAGUUGGUGGUUUGGUUGAUCAGGGACUUUGCAGGGUUGGUCUUUUGGUGUGGCACUUUUGUCAAUCUGUAGUGUUAACAGCGAAGAAGAGCGACCAUGGUGGUGAGCCAGGAGAUGCGGGGAAAGGUGAGGAUGGGGCAAGAGUGGUUGACUACUUGUGGAAAAUGGUGUGCCUUCAGCCCCAUUUUAAGUUUCACUUCCUCUGAAGGCCUCUCUCAGCACCCCACCCCGUCUUUAUCUUGAAUCUCUCCAUUGUCAUCAGAGGUGCUGUCACUCUGUUGCUUGGUUUCAUUUCCUGUGAAGUCCCCUUUCGUCUUGUCUAAGGUGGCCCUGUAGGUAUCUCUAGCUUCCAAGGCUUGUGAGAAAGUGCCCAGGUGCUCAAUGAAGUAUGGGAAACUGCAUUAAGGUGGGCUGAAUAAAGAGUACGUGGUGAAGUUCGGUGUGAUCACUUCACUCUUCCUUUUUAAUAUUUUCCAUCUUCAUAGGGGUAUCCAGCAUCUCUUGAUACAUGGGAUUUUCCCCUCACAGUUUUAAAAAAUGAGAUAUUGUUCAUAUUUCAGGUAUUUUGAAACUAUCCAAAUGAUAGCAUGAAUGUCUUUUUUAGUGGUUUGGAAGGAGUUCUCAGAGUGAAAGUCAUUUUCGUCUGGAUUCUGAGGCUUGAGGCUUGAGGGUGUUAUAACUGCAUGAGUAAGAAUGGAAUUGAUAAAUACUUUUUGAAAAGCUGGUCCUAAGCUAAGCAGUCUAGUCCCCAUAGAUCAAUGUGAGUGCUGGUUUUGUCACCUUGUAAUAGCAAGGGAUCAGUCUUGGUGUGCUGGCUGAUGACAGCACCACAAUGCAGGUAAUAGUACAGCACUUUCCCAGCUGAUGUGUGCUAACCUGCACUUGAUGUCUGCUCAUACCUGCUUCUAAAAUAACUUGAGAUUCUUCUCCUUCUAAAUGUGUAGCAGUGUAAUGUUUCCAUGUAAGCAAUUGCCUUACAGCAAUGUUCACAAAACCUUACCAUGUCUUAGACUGUUACUGCUUUCUUUCUCUCAUAUCUACAUUUUUAUUCUCUGGUGUUCCCACUAGUAAAGUGUUCUACUUAGUAGUCUUUGCACACGGCUGUGACUUGUGUUGAUGGAACUUGGCGUAUUGUGUUAUGUUGUGAGGGAGUGUGCAAAUAUGACCUCGCAGGCCUUAAGGACCCAGCUGUAGGGGAGAUGGAAGUGCACUGCACAUACCUAUGAAGCCAAGAUGAAAGUGACUGCAGAAAGAGCAAAAUGGAUUAAGGAAUUUCUGAGGAGGAACACAUGAGAUUCUUAGAAGGGCUUGCAAAGAUUUGGAGGAAGGGACAGAUAUACAUUGGGAUCUGUAGUUGUAGUUCUGGAAAGACAGACACUCCAAGAGCACUCUUCUUUAGGUGGCUCUCUGAUGAUGGGCAGUACUAUAUCUGCUCUGGUUUACGUAUUAACCACUGACCACAUGUGGCUUUUGGGAAUUUGAAAUGUGUUUAGUGCAACUGAGGAACUAAACUUUGGAUUUUAUUUAAUGUUAAUUUUAUAGUUAAUAGUCAUAUGUGGCUGUGGCUACCACAGUGGACAUCGCAUCCAGACAAAGCAUGCAUAUGGGUAACUCAAUAUGAUGAACUCGUAUGAUUAUCUUAAUCACAAAUCAUGGAGUUUGGCUUUUCCUUUACAAUCUGCUUUGCUGAAGCACAUUUUAAGAUGCAGGAAAUCAUUAGUUAAGAAAUGAUAGGUAGUGAGUCAGUGGCUCUCUCAUCCUCACAUAUACAUGUCCUGCAUGUAAACACGCAGACAGGCACGUGCACACACACAUGUGCACACACAUACACACACACAUGCAAGCAUACACACAGUUCCCUCCCCUCCAUCCAGGGAUGGAGAGACUACACCAUGUUUUUGAUUGGCCUACUCUUUUGAAUUAGAGAUAAUGAAUUAAUGAUUCUUCUAUUGGGCACAUGUCAGACUGGGCAAAGAAGAGUCCCUGAUAGAAGGAAAGAUCCAUCUCAAAUCUCAAUCCUGCAAUAAGAACUCAGUCAAAGGGUCUCAGGUGAUUCUUCAUUUCCUCAGCUAUAAACAGGGGGUAGCAAUAUCUCCUGUCUGCCUCAAAAGAUAAUAUAUAUUUAAAAAAACUUUUUCACAUUGACUUUUCCAAAGCAGCAUCUCAGCGUUUUUAUAAUUCUGCAGGGCAUUUCUCUUUCUCUUUGUGUUGACUGUGGUUCCAACAGAUAUGAUUAUACAUAUUUUCUCCUUGAUCUUAAAUGUCCUCUGGCAAUCUUCACAUCUCUUCAAGACCCACUUGGAAAAUCUCUCUUUUAAUUCUGCCCCAGUCUUGCUUUGGAAUCUUCCUUUCUGAGUCCUAACUUCAUUUGGCUCAGUUUCUGAUUCUUCCCCUCUCAGCAUGUGUUCCCACAAUGCCCUGGACUCCCCAAAAUGUUGCUUGUGUAUGCUUUUAAGUCUUUUUCAUAUGUCUGUGCUUUGUCUUCUUUAUUAAAAUGGAAACUCCUUGGGGCAGAGACAGACUUUGAACUUGAUUUUCUUGAACUUUUAAAAAUUAAUUUUAUCCUUGCAGAGAGUGGCCCUCGGUGAAUGUGGCAUUAUGGCAGUUAAAUAGAGGACAUGAGGCUUCAGACUGACAUAUUCAAAGCUGUAUCUCAUCAUGUUUGUUGGCCUUGAACUCCUGGGCUCGAGUAUCCUUCUGCCUCAGCUUCGUGAGUAGCUGGGACUACAGAGUUUAAGAUUUCUUCACAACAGCUGCUUCUCUACAGGGGUAACAGCUAGACCUCUGGUAGUGUUAGAAGGAGACAACCCAGGACAGCAGCAGCUGGUUUUAUUUUUGGUUUUCGUCAGGUGUUGAUUGGUGAAUUUACCUGAGAAGUUGAGACUCAAGAUUGUGAAAACGUGUGACUAGGACCGAAAGCAGAUUUUCAGGUAGGAAAUCAAGAUUGUUCUCUUUAAUUCCUUUGCACUGGUUUUUGCAGCAGUCAAAUCAGCAUUUUCAUAGGAAACACAAUAUCCAAAAGCAAAGGACUGUGUAGAUUCUGAGUUUGUACUAGGAAAAACCUGUAUGUUCCUUUUUAAAGAAUUCUUUUCUCUACUUUCCAAAUAGUUAUAGCUGAGCUUUGAAAUGAGAUCCAAGAGGAACUUGAAGAAGUAUAUCUAUAUUUGCAAAAGUCUUCUAGAUUUGAUUUUGAUUCUGGAAGCC